rnacentral:rRNA from 1 species
GUUUGUCGCGUCUGCCGUGAAAGUCCGGGGCUCAACUCCGGAUCUGCGGUGGGUACGGGCAGACUAGAGUGAUGUAGGGGAGACUGGAAUUCCUGGUGUAGCGGUGAAAUGCGCAGAUAUCAGGAGGAACACCGAUGGCGAAGGCAGGUCUCUGGGCAUUAACUGACGCUGAGGAGCGAAAGCAUGGGGAGCGAACAGGAUUAGAUACCCUGGUAGUCCAUGCCGUAAACGUUGGGCACUAGGUGUGGGGGACAUUCCACGUUUUCCGCGCCGUAGCUAACGCAUUAAGUGCCCCGCCUGGGGAGUACGGCCGCAAGGCUAAAACUCAAAGGAAUUGACGGGGGCCCGCACAAGCGGCGGAGCAUGCGGAUUAAUUCGAUGCAACGCGAAGAACCUUACCAAGGCUUGACAUGAACCGGUAAGACCUGGAAACAGGUCCCCCGCUUGCGGUCGGUUUACAGGUGGUGCAUGGUUGUCGUCAGCUCGUGUCGUGAGAUGUUGGGUUAAGUCCCGCAACGAGCGCAACCCUCGUUCUAUGUUGCCAGCACGUGAUGGUGGGGACUCAUAGGAGACUGCCGGGGUCAACUCGGAGGAAGGUGGGGACGACGUCAAAUCAUCAUGCCCCUUAUGUCUUGGGCUUCACGCAUGCUACAAUGGCCGGUACAAAGGGUUGCGAUACUGUGAGGUGGAGCUAAUCCCAAAAAGCCGGUCUCAGUUCGGAUUGGGGUCUGCAACUCGACCCCAUGAAGUCGGAGUCGCUAGUAAUCGCAGAUCAGCAACGCUGCGGUGAAUACGUUCCCGGGCCUUGUACACACCGCCCGUCAAGUCACGAAAGUUGGUAACAYCCGAAGYYGGUGGYCUAACYCCUUGUGGGAGG